rnacentral:pre_miRNA from 1 species
AAUUUCAACUGCAAAAGUCAUCAACAACAAAGUUGUAUAACUUAUCAAGAUCUAUAACUUUUAUUUUGAUCAUUUCUUCAUUUGACAAAAUGAUAGUAACAUUGUUCACGAAAUUUACAUCUCUCUCAUAUGGUUUUAAGAGAGAUGUACAUUUCGUGAACAAUGUUACUAUUACUUUGUCAAAUAAAAAAAUAAUUAAAAUAAAAGUUGUAUGUCUUGAUAAGUUCUACAACUUUUUAUAUUCAUGACUUUUUCAGCUGAAAUU